CGCGUAGGUGGUUUGAUAAGCGAGAUGUGAAAGCCCCGGGCUUAACCUGGGAACGGCAUUUCGAACUGUCAAGCUAGAGUAUGGUAGAGGAGUGUGGAAUUUCCUGUGUAGCGGUGAAAUGCGUAGAUAUAGGAAGGAACACCAGUGGCGAAGGCGGCACUCUGGACCAAUACUGACACUGAGGUGCGAAAGCGGUGGGGAGCAAACA
rnacentral:rRNA from 1 species